UAACCUACCUAUAAGACGUGGGAAUUAACGUUACGGGAAACCGGAGCUAAUACCGGAUAAUAUUUCGAACCGCAUGGUUCGAUAGUGAAAGAUGGUUUUGCUAUCACUUAUAGAUGGACCUGCGCCGUAUUAGCUAGUUGGUAAGGUAACGGCUUACCAAGGCGACGAUACGUAGCCGACCUGANAGGGUGAUCGGCCACACUGGAACUGAGACACGGUCCAGACUCCUACGGGAGGCAGCAGCC
rnacentral:rRNA from 1 species